rnacentral:lncRNA from 1 species
GCCACCCUGAGUAAGUUAAACAGGGCUUGGAAGCAGGCAGCCCAAAGGAGAGAGGGCUGGCUCUGAUAUCAACCUCGAGAUAUCAGAUUACAAGACUGAAAUGGGAGCCUCUAAGUUCCUUAAACAAGCGGCCUUCAAAAUGCAGAGUGUGCACUCUAGGGGCACUAGCUCCUCUCCUCUACUAAGCCAAAAUCUCAAAGGCUAGCAUACAUUGGAGCAUCUUCCCUUGAUGGAACAGCCCUCUCAGGGAGCCACAUAGAAAACAGGCCCUUCCACCACCAUGUGAACAAGCCCGGACUAGCCUCCUGGAAGGCACAAGACCACAUGGAGAGAGGACCCAACAAUGCAGCUGCUGCAGCUGAGACGCCAGCCAUGGAGAUGAGAAAACAGAGGCUCAAGGAAAGUAUGUGGCUUCCCUGCAACAUGAUGCUCAAUACACGAAAAAAGGGGGUAUCCAGAUGACUCGUGACUUGCCUGGAUCAGAGGGGUAGGGAUGGGCUCAGCAGCGCCCACUGCUCACUGCUUUGAAUCCACAGAGUCUGUCUGGUUGUUUGUGACUGGCACACAGCAGGUGCUCAAUUAAUGUCAAAUGAGGACACCCAUGUGGAAAACUUGUUACACUAAAGGAAAAAAUCAUACCUGCAGGGCCCUUCUUCUCCACUCACACAGAAUCAUGGAAAAUGUACCACCUUCCCAAUGCAAGAAAAAGUUUAGCUCUGGGCACCCUGCAGCAAAUGCCUGAAGGGUGCAAAGAAAAGGAGCAGACUCCUCCUGGACCCCAGGGAGGAAAGCAGAGGCCUCCAAGAGGCCAGCAUACAUUGACUGCCCUCAUUUAUUUUAUACUUUUCUCAUUCUGUUGAGUCAAGGUCAACCUCCACUUGAUCUGACCCCUGAUCAGUAGAACAAGUCCAGGCAGCAGAACAAUCAAUGAUCAUGCCAUGCCAAGGACGUGUUAAAUGCCACCUUCUCCUCCUCUCAUUUUUCUUCAAUGAGAAAAGCUAAACUCAUUUCUACGCAAUCUUUCAGUGGCAGCAGCCAAGAAUAAAAAAGCCCUGUGUCUUUAAUUCCAGAUCUUUCAGUGCUUCUCCAUUCCUUGUUUCAUUUAUGUCACGUGCAUAUAUGUGUGCAUGUGUGUGCCAUGUGUGUACAGGUGUGGUGUGAGCUCCUUGUGGGCAAGAACUGCCUUAUUUAUAGCUCUAUCUCCAGUACCAAGCACAUGCCUGGCAUUCAGUUAUGUGCUCAGUGAACCAAUGAAUGAAUGAAUAGAUCAUACUCAGAGGUUUCUCUGGGUGAGUGACCCCUUGAAGCUCCACUGUGGUUGCACCAUGUAGCCAAAACAUAAAUUGUGUGAGCUUGAAACAAAGCCCCCGCACCAUUUUUUAAGUUAUUGUCUCUCAGUUUCAAACCCACUUUUUCUAUACUCUGCCCUGUGAUACUAGGGCUGGGACUCUGCACACCUCAUUUCUGUUUUGCCAGCUGCACCCUGUUUGGCCCUGCCAGGAGGGGAAUGAGACAGAGAAUGGCAGGAUGGAGGAAGAAGAAGGGGCUUGUGCCUCCCUUUCCUCCUGUUUCCAUGAGCAUUCCCUAAUAAUAGCCCUACAUUCAGGCAGUGGCAAUUGGCCCCAGAAUCUAGUCCCUUUUUUUGGCAGUCCCUGAGCCAGUCUCACUGUACCCCCUCUGAGACACCAGCACUAGCCAGGCAGCACUUCCUCCUCAGGUGUCUGGGUCUCAGCUCUGCAGGGUAUUAACUCCAAAGUUCUCAUAACCUUAAUCCCUUCCCUUUGUCAGCCCAGUCUUAAGGGUGUUCUCUGCUUUCUGCAGUUCCCAUCUCUGCUACACUUUCUGCCUCUUCCAUCCUCUAAGAUCUGUUUAACCAAUGCCUUCUGCUAAAUUCUCUGUUAAAAUAAUUGGCAUGUUGCUCUUCUCUGGGCUGAAUCCCAACUGAUAUGGGAACUAUGGUGUUUGUAGGGGUAACAGCACCUUGUGCACUCCUCCAAAAGAUUAGAAGUCAGGCACAGUGACCUCCGCUUGGACUUGAAUAGGACCCUUCCAAAUCUGGCUCUGACCUAGAGAACAGACAAAAUGCCUCAUUCCUACAGCAAACAGGACACAAACAAUGUCCAUGGGCCUGGACACUGACCAAUGUAUGGAGUACCUGGACAGCAGACACUCCAAAAAUAUUUAUUGAACAAAUGAAUGGGCCCAUGGCAGAGACAGCUAUGGACUCCCCAGGCAGGAGCUGGACUACAUUUCCCAAUUGCUCUUACAGUCAGGGGUGCCCAUGUGAAUGAGUCCUGGCCAAUGUGAUGUACACCACUUCCAAACCUGGCCCACAGACAUCUCCUACCGGUAAGAUUCCUCUGUGGACUGGCCAGGUAUAGACGAUCCAACGGAAAACUCUAGAGUGGAAGAGCCUGGUUUCCGAACGACCAGGUGGAGGACCUCCUGCCAAAUGUUGAAACAGAAAACGUUGAAAUGGGACUAUUAGCCGAGCAAAUAAUAAAUGUCUAUUGUAUUAAGCUGCUGAGAUUUGGGAAUUGCUUGUUCCAGCAAUUAGCCUCCCCAGAUCAAUAAAGAGGCCAAGGGCACAAGUUUGAUCUCUAGCCCUGGCCAUCACACUCUUCAAUGCAGGCUUUGGGGCAUGAAGGUGGCUAAGCAGGAAUUUGGAUGAUCAGCACAAGCUCAUUUCAACACCUGGAGGAACAGCUCAAAGGGCACAGCCUCCUGACAGCAGGUCCCUGCCCAGCAGGGAGAGCACAUGAUUACAAGCAGUCCUUCCAUCCUGAAAAUGGAGUCAGCCAGUUCUGGGGCCUCACAUAGGUAAAUCUAUGGAAUGAUUAACCAAACUGACUAGCUCCUGCAGAGUUAGUGUCGCUGGGACUCUUCACAGAAUAACAAAAGAUCAUCUGCCCGGGAUGACUUUAGACAUUGAACUUGGAGGAAAGAGACUGAGCUAAGUGAUUUUUUCCAAUUAAUAAAUAAAGUGUUGUCUGGGUGUGGUGGCUCAUGCCUGUAAUCCCAGC